rnacentral:rRNA from 1 species
UACGUAGGGUGCAAGCGUUGUCCGGAAUUAUUGGGCGUAAAGAGCUCGUAGGCGGUCUGUCGCGUCGGAUGUGAAAAUCCAGGGCUCGAACCCUGGACCUGCAUUCGAUACGGGCAGACUAGAGUCGGCAGGGGAGACUGGAAUUCCUGGUGUAGCGGUGAAAUGCGCAGAUAUCAGGAGGAACACCGGUGGCGAAGGCGGGUCUCUGGGCCGAAUACUGACGCUGAGGAGCGAAAGCGUGGGGAGCGAACAGG